rnacentral:rRNA from 1 species
UACAGAGGGUGCAAGCGUUAUUCGGAAUUACUGGGCGUAAAGCGAGCGUAGUCGGUUGUCUAAGUCGGAUGUGAAAGCCCCGGGCUCAAUCUGGGAAUUGCAUUCGAUACUGGGCAGCUAGAGUUCGGCAGAGGGAAGCGGAAUUUCCGGUGUAGCGGUGAAAUGCGUAGAUAUCGGAAGGAACAUCAGUGGCGAAAGCGGCUUCCUGGACCAGAACUGACGAUCAGGCUCGAAAGCGUGGGGAGCAAACAGG